rnacentral:rRNA from 1 species
CCUACGGGAGGCAGCAGUGGGGAAUAUUGGACAAUGGGCGAAAGCCUGAUCCAGCAAUUCCGCGUGUGUGAAGAAGGCCUUCGGGUUGUAAAGCACUUUAGUGGGGGAAGAAACAGCUUGGCCACACCAAGCCUUGACGGUACCCCAAGAAUAAGCACCGGCUAACUCUGUGCCAGCAGCCGCGGUAAUACAGAGGGUGCAAGCGUUAAUCGGAUUUACUGGGCGUAAAGGGUGCGUAGGUGGCUAUUUAAGUCGGAUGUGAAAGCCCGGGGCUCAACCUCGGAAUUGCAUUCGAUACUGAGUGGCUAGAGUUCGGUAGAGGGCGGCGGAAUUUCCGGUGUAGCGGUGAAAUGCGUAGAUAUCGGAAGGAACAUCAAUGGCGAAGGCAGCCGCCUGGGCCUGGACUGACACUGAGGCACGAAAGCGUGGGUAGCAAACAGGAUUAGAUACCCUGGUAGUCCACGCCGUAAACGAUGAGAACUUGACGUUGGUUCGUUUUACGAAUCGGUGUCGCAGCUAACGCGAUAAGUUCUCCGCCUGGGGAUACGGCCGCAAGGUUGAACUUAAGGAAUUGACGGCUGAGCCGNGCGAGCGACGACGAGGGAGAGG